GGUCAGAAGCGGGAGGGGGAGGAGGACGGUCCUUCGCGCGCUGGUGUACUCUCGGCCUGCUGCGGGCAACUUGUCUCGGGUCAGCUUCUCCAGGGCUCACCUUAUAUGUGUUCCUUGACCUGAACACUCAGUCUGCACUAUCCGGGACGGCAGCCCUAGGAGCUAUGAUUCGUGUGUGCACAGAUUUCUUUGAAUGGGUGCAUAAGCAUCAGCGGCACGUGAGUCCCUUCACGGGCUAAAGGGCAGACAGACCCCUACGCAGCCUCCGCCAGAGGUCAGACUCUAAGGCACACACUUAGCGGAGCUGCCUGCCUCUGGGCUGCUGCGCAUAACUGGAUAAGAUGAUAGAUUCUCCUUGCUGUACCCUGGGGCGUUUGUCAGCCUGGUGCCUGAGUGUGGCUCCCUUGCCUGUUCUCACUCAGCCUUCCAGCCCACUCUAGAUCACAGAAUGUAGAUUGCUUUGAAAUUAUUCCUAGACCAGAGGCUCACAGAUCUGUGUUGUAUUUUCUGUUUUGUGAGAGAGGGAGGUAGGUAAAUGUUGAGUGUGAAUUUUCCAAGUUGUAAAUAUCCUAGUCAAAAAGGCAGACCACUGUCAGAUUUUUAAGGACUUUGUUUCCUUGAGUAAAGUGGUGGAGUGCAUGAGGGGAAUGGAAAACACAAAGAGUAUUUUCUUUCCUUUUAUUUACACAAUCUUUAUAAAACAUUGAUUUGGAUUUCUGUCAUGGGUAUUUGGAUAUUUAAAGAUCUACAAAAACAUCACCUCUAUAUUCUAAAUCUCAUUAAAUUAGGUAUGGAACGACCAUAAAAAGUUUUGCAACCUGUACUUAGUUGGGUGCUCUCACUGCUAUGAUGACCACCCCUGUCUGUGAGGUUUUCUAAAGGCUUUAAAUAUAAACACCUGUGGUCAGUUAGAGCUGCCAUUUAACAUACAGCUCAUGUGUUUCAGGGCCUUUAAUUAAUUUGCAGAUGUAAAAGUGGAGGUCAGAUUACUUGGGAUUCUAUACUGUAGUAUUUAUGAGAACAGGAGAAGAUUGAGAGAGGGAAAGCGAAACAGUAAAGAUUUUUUUCGUGUCUGUACAACCGUAUCAUUUUUUCUAAUAUUUUAUGUAGAAUUCAGAAUUGCUGUUCAUUUUUCACUUAUGCAAUUAGUAUGUUUUUCUAAUUAUUAUGCACCUGACAGAAUGCACCUAUAAAUGCAUGUGUGAAUUUGGAAAUCAUUCAUAACCCUUAUGAUUUUUAAAACAUCCUAUAAGAUGACCAUUGUAGUGUCACACUCCUAUAAUGCCGUAUAUGUUCAUACCAUGUCCCUUGUUUGUUUUCAAGGAUAGUUGGUGUUCAUAAUCGAAGAGGUAGUUAAAGAAAAUAGAGGAUUAUUAAAAUAAUGUAAUUAUUUUAUUUUUUAUGGGAGAAAGCAAUUUUUAAUACUUGAGACGUCUGACAUUUAGAUUAUUAAGUUUUAUAUCACGAAUGAUAAAGUGCUGUAUUGUUUGAUAAUCAAGUUUGCUAGAAGUUCUUAACAGUUAUUCCCACGUAACAAUUUUUCUAAAUAUUUAGUACCUGUGAAGCUUGAACAGCCACUCUAGGUACUGGAUUUAUUAAUAGGAACACAACAUACAUGUGAGUCUCCACAAAUGUCAUUCCAUCGAAAUAUUAAAGUAUCACUUCUCAGGUAGUUAUUUUGAAUUUAAAAGCCAACUAAUGCUAUUUUUAACUUCUCAGGUAAUAUUUAUCUUUUAAUGAUUUCUCCAUGUAAUUUAAUAAUGUUUUACAUAAAAUAGAUAUCAAAUAUAUAGUUUAUUUGUAUAAAGUAGCUGAAGUUCAUGUUGAAUGAAUAGUACACGACUUUUCAUUACUUGAACCUAAUUGUUAAAUACUAUAUACUAAAGUUUGUAAUUUGUAUUAGCAUACUGAAAACAUAAGUUUUGCAUAGGAGUACACUUGUAUAAAAAAUAACUAAAGGUUAAAUUCUGAUAUUCGGGUUCUGCAAAACAAAACUGUAGGGAAAAUAUAAUCAUAUAUAUAUUUUUUUGGUCUUUUUAGUUUUUUUUAUCGGUACCAGGGAUCGAACUCAUGACUGCCUGCUUGCAAGGCAGGUGCUUAUGACGCUGAGCUAAAUCCCCAGCCCCAAUAUAAUCAUAUUUUUAUUUGUAUAUUUUUUGUUUGUCUUCAUUUCUUGUUUGCACUACCCCCAGGGCCUUCACACUGAGCUAUGUCCCCCCCUGCAUUAUAAAAAUAAUGUUUCAAGUAAGGCCUCACUAUAAAGUGCUUCUUACAACCUAAAUUAUAGUGGUUAGAAAUUGUGCCUGAUAAGUGUAGUUAAGUGUUAAAUACUGAAGACAUCACAUAAAUGAUUAAGUAUCAACCUUUUAGUGUUAUUCUUAUGAACAUUAUAGGAAUAUUUUUAAAUUUUCAAUUUUAUGAAUACUUAAAAUAUCAAUUUUUUGUACAUCUGAAACAUGGGGUAUUAUAAAAUUUUAUAUAUACAAUGUUGAAAGAUUAAUGUCAUGUUUAAGUUAAAUUUCUUGCACAAAAAUAUCACUAAUAUUAUUUUCAAAAGGACAUUUUCCAUGUUUCUACUAAUGUUUACUUUUAAAAUUUGUUUAUGGCGGAUAAAAUUAUGUUAUGUGUCUCUUAAGAACUGUGACAGAUUUUUAGUAUUGUGUGUGUAGUUUUACCAAAUUAAGUAAAAUCAUGGCAGAAAGAGUGUAUUAGGCAUCUUUACCCCUUUCUUCUAAUUCCAGUUUUUAUAAUUGAGACAGGGUCAAAUAAGACAAUGAAUAAAAAACUGAACUACUCGUUCUUUUAACAUGAUACUAAGAGUAAUGUGACUAUAGGAAGGAUCUCUUAUCUUCCAACUGACUGUAAAGCUGUGUGUUGUAUAGUCAAAAUAAAUCAAUUUUACUGUAUUACCUGAACCUCCUUGAAUCAAUCAGAAAGUAAUUUUUUUCAUAGAUCAUUUUUCUAAGUGAAAGCAUGUGUAUUUAUAUUUCUUACUGCCUUAAUUUUCCAUAUAUUUAAAGACACAGUAUUAAUUAGGUGUCUAACUUAUUUAAAACUCAGACUUUAUCUCCUCAAAAUCUAGAACAUUUUAUUUCUGUACUGAGUUCUGAGGUAUAUGAAAUACAGUCUUGCUUCAUGUGCAAGGCAACUAUGAAUAUACAUGUUAUAUUUGGUAGCCACCAGAGGUCCAUUUAUUAAAAAAUUACUCUGCUUUAGCAAAAAUAUGUUUAACCCAGUUGAUGCAUCUCUCAGUGUGUACCCAUGUUUAUGAAGACAAUUACUUUUUUUUUUUUUUUUUUUUUUUUUGUCUUUUUGAGACAAGGUCUCGCUGUGCAGUUCAGGCUGGCCUUGAGCUUACUUUGUAGCCUGGGCUGGUCUCCAACUCACAGCAAUCCUGCUGCCACAGCCUCCUGAGUGCUGGGAUUACAGGCGUGAGCUGCCAUGCCCGGGAUGAAGACAAUUAAUUACAUGGUGUUAUUUGAAAGCUUCCUCAGGAUCUGUUGAAAAUCCCCUUCUAUGUUUGGAGCUACUGGGACUCUGGCGCCGCACUACUCCAAGCCAUUAGGCCUACAGAACCAGUGGCCCUCCUCUGCCUGCUCAGAACUCCGCAGUUCCAGACAAGCUGGGCCUCAGGGACACUGUGCACCCACCUGCCCCUUGGAAGCUCCACAGUUCUUCAAUGGCAGCCGGGUUAGGGUACUCACCACAGGCUGCAGUGCUUCAGGAACCUGUGGACCCUCCCUGGUUGCAGAGAUAUCCACAGUCCUCCAGACACGCAGAGCGCCCGGUGAGGGCACCCCAGAUCUGCCCAGCUCCUCCUCUGCAGACCUAUGGCCAGGCGCGGCAGCUAAACAGUCUGGGCUAGGCUGGUAGUGUGGGCCAGCCCACCUAUCGGGAGCUCAGCAGGUCUCCAAAUGAAGCCGGGAAUGGGGAGGCUGAUGUGGAAGCCUCAAACCCACCUCUCUCCUUCACUGCACCUGGAAGCCUGAGGGAACUCCAGCAGUCUGGGCGCAGAAAUCCAGAGUCCUCCAGACACGCAGAGAGGCCAGUGAGGGCACCCCAGAUCUGCCCAGCUCCUCCUCUGCAGACCUAUGGCCAGGCGCGGCAGCUAAACAGGCUGGGCUAGGCUGGUAGUGUGCGCCAGCCCACCUAUCGGGAGCUCAGCAGGUCUCCAAAUGAAGCCGGGAAUGGGGAGGCUGAUGUGGUAGCCUUAAACCCACCUCUCUCCUUCACUGCACCUGGAAGCCUGAGGGAACUCCAGCAGUCUGGGCGCAGAAAUCCAGAGUCCUCCAGACACGCAGAGAGGCCAGUGAGGGCACCCCAGAUCUGCCCAGCUCCUCCUCUCACCAAGCACAUUAUCAAUCUGUUUUCUUUUCUCUUUUAUGUUUUGGUAUAAUUUAAGUGUUUGGCUUUAUAUUUUUUUUUCCUCAUGGAUUCCCUGUGGAUGAGUUUUGUGGCAGUGGGUCUAUUGGAGAUAUUUUCUUGCCCCAUUUGCCUAUGUUUAAUACUCUGUGUGAGAGUGUGUCUGUGUGCAGGCACAUGCAUGUAUGUGUGCACAUUAAGAUUUGAGGACUUCUAAGAUUGGAGUUUAUUGCUAGAUGUAGAUCUCUUUAAUGAGGGUCUUAUUUUCAGUGAUGCACUCAGCAUCAAUAAUUUUAAUACUUUGCUUACCUCAACAUUUCAUCACUUCUGUUAAUUUGAGGAGGAAAGGGUGUGGUGUAAUUGGCUUAAUGCUAUUUUCUUAUAAAUAAACUGCAGUAGCAUUGGUGGUUCAAGACAAAGCAGAUAUUGCCACAUACUAAACUCCAAUCAUAGCCACAAUUAUAUCACAAAAGUAGAAAAGAAAUCAAUAACAAUAGACUCCAAGAGAAAUUGGAUAUUCGUGUAAUACAAGAACAAAUAAAGUGCCACUCAACCAUUCAUGAGUAUAAAUAAAUGUAGAAUAAUAAUAAUAAUAAUGUAUACAGAACUGUAUAUUAAUUACUGAUAUACAAUAAAUGUAUAAUAAAUGAAACAAUAAUACUAUGAUUAACAAUAGAAAAUAACAACAAAAAUAGAGUUAACUAAGUAUUUAAAGAUUAACAAAGCCUAAUAGGAAUGUUAAUAGAGGAGAUAGGGAAGUGGAAAUGAAAAGGAAAGUUUUUAUUUUAUUUUUUUAAUUUUAAAUAGAUUAAGACAAAAGAGGACAUAACAAAGCAGAUCAUAUCAGAACAAUUCAAGAAACACAUCAUUUUACCACAAAACAAACCACAGUAACUACCAUAAUGCCUCUUUCUUUGAAUUAAUUGAUCAUAGUUUCAUAUACAAUAGUAUCAAACAUAACAAAACAGUAUAAAACCAUUAAAGAGAAUGAGAUCAUUACAGGGCUUUCAGAACCAAGCAGCACAGAAUGAACAAUGGCUACUAUAUUAUCUCACUGUCUAUAGAAAAUUUGUUUAGGUUAUCACUUACAAUAAUUUCCAAUAAGAUACGACAUGAUAGAACCAAAGGAAACAGAAAAAAAAAAAAGCAUAGUACAACUUUAGAGUAAGAUGAUGCUAAAUCAGCUCUGGCUAUUCUAAUGUCUUGUUUUCUUCAAAAUAGCUGUUCAUACUAUCACAGAUAAUAAAAUCAAACAAACUAGGAUAAAACAAUUCCAACGAAUGAAUACAGACUUAAUAAGGCUCCAAACCAAUGUAAUGGGGAAUCAUGAUUACCAUAAAUUCUUAUGUACACAUACCAUUUCUUAAGGGAGACUAUAUGGUAUUUCUACAUGUGAGUCUGAUUUAUUUCGCUUAUGAGUAUGGGCUCAAGGCAUCCAUUUAUUUAUAAAUAUCUCAAUGUUAUCAUUCUUUAAACCUGAGUAGUACUCUAUUUUAUUUUAUUUUUUUAAAUUUUAUUUAAAAGGAAAAAGAGAAAAAACAAAACAAAACAAAGCGGUGUAACGGUACAAGUAAUACAGAAUUACAAAAAAAAAAAAAAAAAAAAAAAAACAGUAAGAAAUCACCAGUUAAUAGAUUACAUAUUAUCAUCUUAGAGAUAGUUGCUCAAAUCACAGUAUCAAAGCAUACAAAGUGGACAUUCAAACAGUGAGACUGCAAACAGUUGUGUUCAAUGAUACAACCAAAAACAUUGAUAUGGUCAGCUAUUUAACACCCCUAAACACACUUGCUGUUGUAUCCUUUAGAGCUCUUUUUUUCCCUCUCUUUUUUACAACAAAAUUUACACAAUUUGGGUUUUAUUACUCCUUAGUUCUUAUUACUUUUUUGAGGGGUGAGAAUAAAGUCAAAUAUGGCAAAACAAAGCUGUCAGUCAAAACCAAGGAUAGACAUAGCACAUGGUGUAGAACAGAGUACAAGGUUAUCAACAAUGGUUAUCAACCUUGUCUCUUGUUUCCUUAAAAAGAAUGGUCGGCCCACACUAUCAGCCUAGCCCAGCCUGUUUAGCUGCCGCGCCUGGCCAUCUGUGUGCAGAGGAGGAGCUGGGCAGAUCUGGGGUGCCCUCACCGGCCUCUCUGCGUGUCUGGAGGACUCUGGAUAUCUCCGCCCAGACUGUUGGAGUCCCCCCAGGCUUCCAGGUGCAGUGAAGGGGAGAGGUGGGUUUGAGGCUUCCACAUCAGCCUCCCCAUUCUGGUUACACUUGGAGAACUGCUGAGCUCCCGACGUGUGGGCGGGCCCACACUAUCAGCCUAGCCCAGCCUGUUUUGCGGCCACGCCUAGCCAUCAGUGUACAGAGGAGGAGCUGGGCGGAUCUGGGGUGCCUGCAUCGCCUCUCCGUGUGUCUGGAGGACUGUGGAUAUCUCUGCAAGCAGGGAGGGUCCACAGGUUCCUGAGGCACUGUGGCCUGUGGUGAGUACCCUAACCCGGCUGCGAUUGAAGAACUGUGGAGCUUCCAAGGGGCAGGUGGGCGCACAGUGUCCCUGAGGUCCAGCUUGUCUGGAACUGACCCUAACCCCUAAGAUGAAUAAAACUUAGGCAUUGUAAACAUUACAGGACUUCCAAAGGAGACAAUAGUCAAACCAGCAUGGGUAUCUUAGUGAAUCUUAUUGCCUUCAAAGUAGUUGCCUAUACCCUCAAACUUGAUACUAUCAUACACAAUGGAACAGAGUCUAAUCAGUCAAAACAAGAUAGUGGGAGUAUUACAGGACUUCAAAAGAAGUUAAUAGGAAAUCAAAAAUAGUUACUAUUAUAUAUCCUGCUAAUUUUUUAAAAUUUUCCCCUUAAAUAAAAAAACCAUAAAAAUAACUAAAUAUUUUUUUAACGAAUAAGGGAGAGAUUGAGAUAAAACAGGACAUAACAGUAUAACAAUAGAGGUCAAAGCAUGACUGUUUCAGCAACCUAGUGCUUCACCAACAAAUAACCCGACUUAAUAGUAGUUACCAUAGUGUCUGUCUUUUUCCUUGAAAUAUUUGAAUAAAACUUCAUAUACUAUAACUUUAAAUAUUUCCAUAUCAAGAAGCCCAGAAGAAAGCCUUUCCAAUUAAUAAGUGAAAACUUUAUAAGGCUUCAAGGCCACAUAAUGGGGAAUCAUGAUUACCACAUAUUUUUAUAUAUUUGAAUCAUUACUUACAUUAGGGAAACUAUUUGGUAUUCACACAUGCGGGAUUGAUUUAUUUCACUUAUGAGUAUGGUCUCAAGCUGCGCCCCUUUAUUGAUAAAUAUCUAAAUGCGAUCCUUCUUUAUAGGUGAAUAAUAUUCCAUUGUAUAGAAAUACCACACUUUUUUAUCCAUUCCCCAGUUGAUGGGCACUUGGGUUGUUUCCAAGAUCUGGCGAUUACAAAUUGUGCUGCUAUAAACAUAGGUGCACAUGUAUCACUGUAGUAUGUUGCUUUCAGUUCUUCUGGGAAUAUGCCUGGAAGUGGAAUAGCUGGAAUAAAUGGGACUUCCAAUCCCAGCUUUUUGAUAAACCUCCAGACUGACCUCCACAAAGGCUGCACCAGUCUACAUUCCCACCAACAAUGUAGGAGAGUUCCUUUUUCCCCACAGCCUCUCCAGCAUUUGUUGUUGUUGGUUUUCUUGAUCCUGGCCGUUCUUUCAGGGGUGAGAUGGUAUCUCAGUGUGGUUUUAAUUUGCAUUUCUCUAAUGACCAAUGAUGAUGAACAUUUUUUCAUGUAUUUAUUUGCCAUUUGCAUUUCUUCAUCUGAGAAGUGUGUAUUCAUCUCAGAUGCCCAUUUUUGUAUUGGAUCUUUGAAUUUUGGGGUUCUGAGUUUUUGUAAUUCUUUAUAUGUUUUAGACAAGAGUCCCUUGUCUGAGAGAGACUAAAAUCUUUCCCAGUUUGUGGGUUUUCUUUUCAUUAUGCUGGAGAUUUCUUUUGACAUGCAGAAACUUUUUAGUAAGAAGUGGUCCCAGUUAUUGAUUCUGGCAAGGAUUUCCCGUGCGGUUUGAGCCCUGUUCAUGAAUUCUCUACGUACUCCUAUGUCUUCAAGGUUUCUACCCAAUUUGUCUUCCAAUAGAUUUAGUGUUUCUGUUUUAAUAUUCAGAUCUUUGAUCCAUUUAGAUUUUAAUUUAGUACAUGGUGAUAGACAUGGGUCUAGCUUUAGUUUUCGACAAAUGGAGAGCCAGUUUUUCCAGCAGCAUUGAUUAGACUGUCAUUCUUCCAGUGAACCUGCUUGGCUCCUUUAUCAAAGAUAAGGUGGUUGAGUGUGUUUGUAGUUGUGGUUAUAUCUUCUAAUCUAUUUCAUUGAUCUUUGGCUCUGUUUUGAUUCCAAUACCAUGUUGAUUUUACUACUGUUGCUUUGUAGAACAACUUCAAGUCAGGGAUUCUGAUGCCUCCUGCUUUGUCUUUGCUGCUUAGAAUUGCCUUUGCUAUUCUAUGUCUCUUCUGGUUCCAGAUGAAAUUUAGGAGUGAUUUCUCUAGAUCUAUAAGGUAUGUUGAUUGUAUUUUUAUUGGGAUUGCAUAGAAUCUGUGUAACAGUUUUGGGAGAAUGGCCAUUUUCACAAUGUUUGUUCUUCCUAUCCUUGAGCAAGGGAUGUCUUUCCAUUUUCUGAGAUCAUCUUCAAUUUCUUUUUUCACUGUAUUAUACUUUUCACUGUAUAAGUCUUUCACUUCUUUCAUAAGAGUCAUUCCUAAAUAUUUCAUUUCUAUGCUUGCUAAUGUGAAGAGUGUUGUUUCUCUUAUUUCCCUCUCUGUGAUUUUGUUGUUCGUCUAUAGGAAUGCUAUUGAUUUCUGAUUAUUGAUUUUGGAUCCAGACACAUUACUGAAUUUAUUUAUUGUAUCUAAGAGUCUUUCAAUGGAGUUUAGGCGUUCUUCUAUGUAGAGUAUCAUGUCAUUUGCAAACAAUGAUAAUUUAACUUCUUCUCUUCCUAUCUUUACCGCUUUUAUUUCUCUCACUUGCCUAAUUCCUCUGGCUAGUACUUUCGGUACUAUAUUAAAUAGGAGUGGCUAUAAAGGACAUCCUUGUCUUAUGCCUGAUUUUAAAGUAAAGGCUAUCAAUUUUUGGCCAUUUAGUAUGAUGCUGGCUGUUGGUUUGUCAUAAAUGGCCUUUAUUAUAUUGAGGUAAAGACCAUUUAUUCCAAUUUUCUGUAAAGUUCUUAUCAUGAAUAAGUGUUGGACCUUAUCGAAGGCUUUUUCUGCAUCUAUAGAAAUGAUCAUGUGAUUCUUAGUUUUGGCUUUAUUGAUAUGGUGGAUUGCAUUUAUUGAUUUAUGUAUGUUGAACCAUCCUUGCAUUCCUGGGAUGAAUCCCACUUGGUCAUGGUGUAUAAUCUUCUUGAUGAUUUGCCGCAUCCUAUUUCCCAAUAUUUUAUUGAGGAUUUUGCAUCUGUGUUCAUUAGGGAGAUCGGUCUAUAGUUCUCUUUUUUAGUUGGGUCUUUCUCAGGUUUUGGUACUAGAGUAAUAUUUGCUUCCAGGAAUGACUUAGGAAGGAUUGCUUCCCUUUCAAUUUCAUUGAAUAGUUUGAGGAGUGUCGGCAUUAGGUCUUCUUUGUAUUUCUUGUAGAAUUCUGCAGUGAAUCCAUCUGGGCCUUGGCUCUUCUUUGUAGGGAAGGACUUAAUUACAUUUUCCAUUUCAUUAACAGAGAUUGGGUUAUUCAACAGUUUUACAUCCUCUUGAUCUAGCUUUGGCACUUUAUAUGCUUCUAAGAAUCUGUCUAUUUCUUCUGUGUUAUCAAACUUUUGAGAGUAGAGGUUUUCGAAAUAGGUGUUGAUGAUCUUCUGUAUUUCUAUUGGGUCUGUAGUGAUUUCUCCUUUUUCAUUUGUUAUUGCAUGAAUUUGAGCUUUUUUCUUCCCUUUUUUUAAUAAGGUUGGCUAGGGGCUUAUCGAUUUUAUUUAUUCUUUCAAAGAACCAACUCUUUGAUUCGUUGAUUCUUUGGAUUGUUUUCUUAGUCUCUAUUGCAUUGAUUUCUGCUCUGAUUUUUAUAAUUUCCUCUCUUCUUUUGGCUUUGGGCUUGACUUGCUCUUCUUUUUCUAGCUUUUUGAGGUGUAGCAUCAAGUUAUUUAUUGGUAUUCAUUCUGUUUUCCUGAUGUGGGAACUCAGUGCAAUAAAUUUUCCUCUCAGGACGGCUUUCAUUGCAUCCCACAAAUUCCGGUAAGUUGUAUCUGCAUUUUCAUUUUCUUUUAGGUAUUGUUUAAUUUUUCUUUAAUUUCUUCUGUUACCCACUGAUUACUCAAGAGUGUGUUAUUCAGUUUCCAUGUGUUUCUGGGAUUUUUGCAGUAUCUUUUAUCAUUAAUUUCUAAUUUCAGAGCGCUAUGAUCAUAUAACAUGCAAGGGAUGAUUUCAACUCUUUUGCAUUUGUUUAAGUAUGUUCUGUGAGCUAAUAUAUGGUCGGUUUUAGAGAAUGAUCCAUGUACUGCUGAGAAGAAUGUGUAUUCUGAUGUUGUUGGGUGGAACAUUCUGUAUAUGUCUAUCAAAUCCAUUUGUUCGCAGGUGUGAUUCAGUUCUGUUAUUUCUUUGCUCAUUUUCUGUCUGGUUGACCUGUCCCUUGGUGUCAAUGGCGUAUUAAGGUCUCCGGUUACAAUUGUGUUACUGAUAAUUUGAGUUUUCAUUUCUGUUAAUAGUUUUUUUAUAUAACUGGGUGCUCUGGAGUUUGGUGCAUAUAUAUUUAAGAUAGGUAUAUCUUCCUCAUGGAGUUUUCCCCUUAUGAAUAUGUAGUGACCUUCUUUGUUCUUUAUGGUCAUUGUUGGUUUAAAGUUCACAUUGUCUGCAAACAGAAUGGCUACUUCUGCCUUAGUACUCUAUUUUAUAAAAAAAUACCAUAAUAUUAUUACCAUUCCUCAGUAAUGGACACUUAGGUUGUUUCCAACAUCUGGCUAUUACAAAUUGAGCUGCUAUAAACAUGGGUUCACAUAUAUCACUGUGGUAUGAUGCUGUCAGUUCUUCUGGGAAUAUGCCUAGAAGUGGAAUAACUGGAACAAGUGGGAUUUCCAACCUCAGCUUUUUGAGGAAUCUCCAGACUGACAUGCACAAUGGUUGCACCAGUCUACACACCCUCCAACAGAGUAGGAGAAUUUCUUUUUCCCCAUAUUCUCUCCAGAAUUUGUUGGUAGUUUUUUGAUUCUGGCUAUUAUUUCUGGAGUGAGAUGGGAUCUCAGUGUGGUUUUAAUUUGCAUUUCUCUAAUGAGUAAUGAUGAUGAACAUUUUUUCAUGUAUUUACUUGUCAUUUGUGUUUCUUAAUCUGAGAAGUGUGUAUUCAUCUCAGAUGCCCAGUUUUUGACUUAUCAGGGUCUGAUUUUUUAAAAUGCUUUAUACGUUUUACACAGAAGUCCUUUGUUUGAGGGACAGUUAACUAAGAUGUUUUUUCCUAGUUUGAGGAUUUUAUUUUCACUAUGCCGGAUAUUUUUUUUUUUGACAUGCAGAAAUUUUUUGAUAAGAUGUGAUCCCAGCUAUUGAUUCUGGGAAAUAUUUCCCAUGUAGUUUGAUUCCUACCCCUAUGUCUUCAAAGUAGAAGUCUCUACCUAUCCCUAUGUCUUCAAGAUUUUUACCUCAUUUGUCUUCCAACAGAUUGAGUAUUUCUCUUUUAAUAUUCAGAUCUUUAAUCCAUUUAGAUUUUAGUUUAGUACAUGGUGACAGGGAUGGGUCUAGUUUUAGUUUUUGGCAUGUGGAGAGCCAGUUUUUCCAGUACCACAUACUAAAUAGACUGUCCUUCUUCCAGUGAACAUGUUUUGCCUCUUUAUCAAAGAUAAGGUAGUUGAAUGCGUUGGUAGUUGUGGUUGUAUCUCUAAUCUAUUCAAUUAAUUUUCAGAUGUUUUUAUUCCAGUAGCAUGUUGAUUUUCUUAUUGUUUCUGUGUAGUAUAACUUCAAGUCAGGGAUUGUGAUGUCUCCUGCCUUGCUUUCGCUGUUUACAAUUGCCUUUUCUAUUCUACGUCUCUUUUGGUUCUAGAUGAAAUUUAGGAUUGACUUCUCUAGAUCUACUUGAUAUGUUGAUGGUAUUUUCAAUGGGAUUGCAUUGAAUCUAUAUAACCCUUUUGGGUAAUUAUCAAUUUUUACAAUAUUGAUUCUUCUUAUCCAUGAGCAAUGGAUGUCUUUACAUUUUCUGAGAUCUUCAAUUUCUUUUUUCAGGGUAUUAUAAUUAUCCCUCUAUAGAUGUUGUACUUCUUUUGUGAGAUUAAUUCUUGAAUAUAACAUAUUUUUUGAUGUUACUGUGAAGGGUGUGGCUUCUUUUAUCUCUUUCUCAGUGAUUUUGUUAGUGUAUAGAAAUACUAUUGAUUUUUGAGUAUUGAUUUUGUAUCCAGCUACAUAAUUGAAUUUAUUUAUUAUAUCUAGGAGUCUUUCAGUGGAGUUUUGUGGGUCUUCUAUGUAGAAUAUCAUGUCAUCUGCAAAUAUUGAUACUUUAACUUCCUCUUUUCCUAUCAUUACCCCUUUUAUUUCUCUCUCUUGUCUUAUUGCUCUGGCCAGUUUUCCAGUACUAUGGUGAAUAGGUGCAAUGAUAAGGGACAUCCUUGGCUUGUGCCUGAUUUUAAAGUAAAGGCCUUCAGUUUGGGGCCAUUUAAUAUGAUGCUGGUUGUUGGUUUGUCAUAGAUGACCUUUAUCAUAUCAAGGUAAAGAACAUCUAUUCCAAUUUCCUGUAAGUUUCUUAGCAUGAAUGAGUGUUGGACCUUAUCAAAUGCUUUUUCUACCUCUACAGAGAUGAUCAUGUGAUUCUUCCUUUUGGCCUUAUUGAUAUGGUGAAUUGCACUUAUUGACUUACAUAUGUUGAACCAUCCCUGCAUGCCUGGGAUGAAUCACACUUGGCCAUGGUAUGUAAUCUUCUUGAGGAUUUACUGCAUCCUAAUUGCCAAAUUUUAUUGAGGAUUUUUGUGCCUUUAUUCAUUAGGGAGAUGGGCCUGUAGUUCUCCUUUUUAUUUGGCUCUUUAAUCAGCUUUUGGUAGUAGAGUAAUAUCUGCUUCCAGAAGUGACUCAGGAAGAAUUACUUUCCUUUUGAUUUCAUUAAAGAGUUUGAAGAAUGUCAGCAUUAAGUCUUCUUUGUAUUUCUUUUAGAAUUCCCCAAUGAAUCCAUCUGGGCCUGGGCUCUUCUUUGUAGGUAGGGACUUAAUUUUCAAUUUCAUUAAUAGAAAUUGGUUUAUUCUACAGUUUUACAUCUUCUUCACCCAGCCUUGGUACUUCAUUUGUUUCUAGGAAUCUGUCCAUUUCUUUUGUGUUAUCAAACCUAUGAGAGUAGAAGUUUUUUAAAUAGGUGUGGAUGAUCUUCUGUGUUUCGACAGAAUCUAUAUUGAUUUCAACUUUUUUGUUCCUUAUUGCAUGAAUUUGAGCUUAUUCUUCACUUUUUAAAUAAGAUAGGUAGGGGAUUAUCAGUUUUGUUUAUUCUUUCAAAGAAUCAACUCUUUGAUUCCUUGAUUUUGUUGGAUUGUUUUGUUAGCCUCUAUUAUAUUUAUUCUGCUCUGAUUUUUAUAAUUUCCUACCUUCUUUUGGCUUUGGGCCUGACCUGCUCCUCUUUUUCUAGUAGCAUUCCUAUACAGUAACAACAAAAUCACUGAGAGAGAAAUAAAAGAAGCCACACCCUUCACACUAGUAUCCAGAUGAGGCAAUACAAAUGGAAAAUAAAUACAUGAAAACGUGUUCAUCAUCAUCACUCAUUACAGAAAUGCAAAUUAAAACCACACUGAAAUUCCAUCUCACUCCAGAAAGAAUGAUCAUCAUAAAGAAAACUACCACAUCCCAUUUGACAAACCUAUUUCAUUUCUAGUCAUAUUCCCAGAAGAAAAUAUAAAACAUUAUACCACAGUGGUAUAAGUGCACCCAUGUUUAUAGCAGCACAAUCUGUUAUAGCCAGAUCUUGGAAAGAAUCUAAGUGUCGAUGAACUGAGGAAUGGAUAAAAAUGCUGUGGUACUUUUUAUAAAAUAGAGUAGUGCUUAGCUAUAAGGAAUUAUCACAUUGAGAUAUUUAUAAAUAAAUAGAUUUAGCUUGAGACCAUGCUCAUAAGUGAAAUAAAUCAAACUCACAUGUAUAAAUACUGUAUAUUCUCCCUAGUGUAAGAAAUGGUAAGUGUACAUAAGAUUUUUUGGUAAUCAUGAUUCCCUAUUACAUUGCUUUGAAGGCACAAUGUUUUCAUUAGUUGGCACGGUUUUAUUCUAGUUUGUUUGAUUUUAUUAUCUGUGAUAGUAUGAUCAGAUAUUAAAUGUAAAAUAUUAAAAUAACCAUUGCUGAUUUAAUAUCAUCUUGGUUUGAAGUGCUACCAUGCUUUUGUUCUUAUGUUUCCACUGGUUCUAUCCACUGGAUUUUAUUUUGUGUGACAGUAUAAACAAAUAUUUUAUGGAAAAUGAGAUGAUAGAGUAGCCAUUGUUUAUUUUUGGUUAUUUGGUUCUGAAUGCCCUGUAAUACUUUCAUUCUCCUGAAUAGUAUUUUACUAUUUUGUUAUGGUUGAUACUAAUGUAUGUGAAGGUUAGCUCAAGUAUUUCAAAAAAAGAGACAUUAUGGUAGCUACUGUUAAUCUACAUACAGUUGUCUUGUGGUGAAGUACUGUGUUGCUUACAUUGUUGUGUUGUGCUCUUCUUUGUCCUGUAUUAUUUUGUCUUAAUCUCUUUAAAUUAAAAAUUAAUAAAAUAUGCACCACUGAUAAAUGCUUAAUUAACAAAGAAAAGAGACAUAAAAUAGACUAAGGGGAUAUAGUUAUAAUUGUGAACAGCAGUUUAGGAAGUAAACUGAAUAUAUGAAACUGGAGUAUUUGUUCACACAUUUUUUCCAUUUAUAAAUAAUUUAAAUGAGGCAGCUAGAGAGAGUGAAGGAGGGAAAAGAAUAGAGGAGGGAAGAGCCUGUUUACAGUGUACCAUGCUGUAUUUCAUAAAUUCCUAAAUUCUUAGGUCUGAAACGAAAGUGGAAACCCAAGUCCUGCUAGUGACCUUGGACAGAAAGUGUUCAGUGAAGCCCAUGGACUCUGUCCUGAGAUCAGCUACCUUCUCUGCUCUCCCCUCCUCCCUGAGGAAAGGACUCUUAUUGGGGCUGGGCUGAGCUUGGGUAUCAGAUAUACUUACAUUGCCAAGGUGGGGAUUGUGUCAUGUACUUUCACAUCUUAUACACAGCGAUGUCAUGGAUCUAAUUUCCUUCUCCUAUGCAAGUAUUUUGGCAUUUGACAUCUCAUCAUUAGCCUAAAAGUAGCAAAUUCAUUUUAGAUCAUGUUCAUUCGACAUUUUUUAUUUUUUGGAGACAUGAUCUCACUAUGCAGUUAAGACUAGCUUUGCACUCUCUUUGCAGGCUAGCCUGGUCUCACACUUGCAAUUGAUUCUCCUGCCUCAGCCUCCAAAGUGCUAGGAUUACAAGAACGUGCCACCACAUUGGUUAAUUUGACAUUUAAAAGAAAUUUCAUUUCACAAAAUUUUUAAGUUUCCUUGAGGUGGCAAUGGAUGACCAUUAAGUGAAAUUCCUAAAUAGAAAAUGAAAAACGUACAUACAUGUAUAUGCACUUAUACAAUUAACUUUAACCAAAAUGUUCAGUUGACCUCGGGUAGGUCAAAAGUCACUUGAAGGCUAUGUAUUUCACGGUCUCUUCAGGUCAUAGAACGUUAAAACAGAAAGAAAAUCCUAGAGGCCAAAUGAAAGCCCUCAGUGCCAGCUUCCAUUCCUGCACCUGCUCUUGUUGCCUUUCUUUCCCAAUGGAAAGAGCGCCGCCUUCUGGUUCUGAAUCAGGAGAGUUUCUGUAUGGGUUCACAGUGAUGUUCCCUCACUCUGUGUCUGCUGGCAGUGUGAUACAGAGCCAUGUCCUAGGGUCUUAGGCUACUCAUUUGCAGUUACAGCGUAUCCUUGCCAUUGCUGGUCAGGUAGUGAAUUGGCACUUCAUGGAGUCUGUGUAGCUGACAUAGCUACUAUCAUAAUUGACGCAUGUCCUCCACUCUAGUUCCUUCCUUGGAGGCUGGCAGAACCAGUGCCAUAGCUAGUGAAAGUGUAUCCAGAAGCUGCACAGGACAGUUUCAGGAAGCCCUCAGACUUCACCAAGCCUCCCCUGACUCCACAACUCCUCAUAAGCCUAGACACAUGGAAACAAAAGAAGAUCCUGAUCUGGAAAUUGUCACACAUGUCCACUGUUAUCCCUCUCAUGUCCACUUCCCCUUCCUUUAUUUCUUGUUCACAAUUUACCUUUCAGAAGUGCAAACAGGAAAACCCAACUCAGCCCCAAAUCUAUAGUGAUUGUCUGUGCUCAUUUCUGAUCACUUCAUGGUAAUAGUUGCACAUCCUAGGCUCAGUUUCUGUCCAGAGCUCAGGAUCAGGCCUGGGCUGGUUUUCAUGGGCACAGAGAAGCUUCAUUUGCAUUUAUCCCUGCUAUAUAAAUAGCACUGUUAUUGGACCCUCAGAGCAGGCUGUGUCCACAGCAAACAUGAGUGCACUGGGAAAGUCUGAUAAAAAAGACAUAUUCAAGAUAAUAUGAUCACUAUUGUGAUAGUACUCUUGUGUUUUUGACUAUUCAUCAGUCUUCAUUUCUGUCCAUAUACUCAGAUCAUGUCUUUUAUGUUAAUGAUGCUUGUUUUGUGAACAUGUGAAAUAUUGAGUGCCAUGAACAGUGGUGUCCUCCACUUAGGAUCUGAUGCUGUGUGAAUGUCUUUCCUGUUUUCUAGGUUUAUACUCUUCUGAUUUAUGAGCAGAUUGAUCCAUGCCCCAGCUCAUGGUCACUUCUAUUGCAUUUUUAGACCCCCUCUCUGUGGUGAGAAUGUGUGUGCCAGCCCUAUGUUCUGAUCUUUUCUGAGAGAAAACAGCACAAGCAUUCAUUUGGAUCCUGUUAAUCAGUUUCUCAAACUUACUUGUGAUUAGCUCCCUCUGUCUCAAGUUUUUCUAACUUUUUUAUUUUUUGGUUUUUGUAUUCAUUUUUAUUAAUAGUGUUUACUGUAUAUAAUGGAUGCAUCUAUUGUAGACCCUUACACAUGUGCACAAAACACUUGAAUUCUUUAACCAGAUUCCGUCUAACAUUCCUCCAUUUUCUUUAGCUUUUGCAAAAUAUCUUUGAAUUUACCUUUUCUUCUAUUUAACAAAUUUAUACUCUUGUUUUCUUUCAUAAAAUAAACUAUGAAGUAUUUAAAGUUUCUGAUUUAUUUCACUUAUAUAGUGCAACAGUAUUUCCAGCUAUUCCUUUGACAGUCGAUGACUAUUAAGAAUAUAAUAUAUAAAAAAGUCAAAAAAUUGAUCACCCUGAACACAAGAAAUCAGCAAUUGAAAUGAAUAAAGAGUUUUCUGAGUCAAAAAUGAAAAGGCCAACAGAUAAAUCCAGUAUUUUCAGCAAUUAGCAAUCAGGGAAAGUAAAUUCAUAUCUUCAAGAUCUUUACUUGAAUAUUUAUUCUACAAUAUAUCCUUGUGUACAUUUUAUAUCUUUUUGCAUUGAAAACAAUAUACUGCUUUGGAAAUGCCACAGUUUUCCAUUUUGUAUCACAGGUGCCUCUUUAUUCUCUUACCAACAUUCCAGGCUAUCAUUUCACCUGAAAAAUGUUCCAAAUUUCUUUUACUUUUUUUUAAUCCCACAUUCCUUAAAUAACAUCAAUAUAUGUUUGUGAUAUGUAAAAAUUGUAUGUCACAUCUUGGUCAUUAUUUGUACAUUCCCUCUAUCAUUCCCUUUGCCUCAAAGUUCUUCACCUUUCCACAGAAGUCACUUUUCAUUUCCUUAACAAGUUUCUUUGAUUCUUUGAAUUGUUUCCAGUAUGUCUACUAUGUUAAAUAGUAGAUAGUGUGAUAUUUAACUUUCUUUGUUGCAAUUAAUUUACACUUAUUUUCUCAAUGCCAAAUCACUUUAUUUAGAACAAGUCAAACAUACACCUAUUCUGUAAGUACACCACAUUUUCCAUAUUCUUUUAUCCUGCGUGAGUACAAAUAAUUGACUUUCAUAUUUUAUCUCUUGUGAACUGUGGUAAUAUAAAUAUACAUUACUAUAAUUGAUGACUUUAAUAUUGCACAAUCAAACACAUAAAGAAAUUCACAAUCACGUAAAAAGAUAGCAGUUGUUAACAAAAUUAAAUGAUUAUAUUACAUAUCUAUUUGUUUAGUUUUAAAAAUUUGCUGAUGUGGGGCUGGGGAUUUAGCUCAGCGACAUAAGCACCUGCCUUGCAAGUGUGUGGUUGUGAGUUCGAUCCCUGGUACUGAUAAAAAUGAAAAAGACAAAAAAAAUGUUGCUGAUGUUUCUGAAGGUACUGUUGUGACAUGUAAAAUGUUUCCUGCAAUUUCCUGUGUGACGUUAUGCUUGAAAGAGUUUCAUAAAUUUCAGUGUCACCACGUAUCUCUUAAAUGAUCUAUUUUGUUAAAAGCAAGAAUAUUUGCAAAGUCAUUCUGAGUGUGGGAGGACUAUCAAGAUGAACAAGAAACCACUUCACCUUUCCGGUUACGUAGGACAAGCCAUGCAGAUCCUGAGAGAAGAACAAGCCAAAUUCCCCAGUCCUGUGAGUCAACAGAAGCUGUGCUGGGUCUGAGAGAAAUACCAAGAAGUAAAUGAAUCCAAUUUUCCCUUCCCAUGACCUGUCACAGGCAUGCAAGUCCUGGGUAGAGAACAAGCCAAAUGCACCCUACCCAUGACUGGCACAAACCAUGCUGGGCCUAGGGGAAGUAACACGAAGAAAAAGAAAUCAAUUCACCCUUCCUGUGAGCCAACUGGUUGAGCCAACUAACAAUAUGACUGUGACUGUGGGUUAGGAUACCUUGGAAGAGUUAAUAGAUUUGUUUCUUGUGGGGCACUGCCUAAUGAGAAGGGAGUCGAAUUGCAUCAGAAGUGACAAGAGCAAGGGAAACUGCUUGAGAAAAGAAAAAUAUAUAAUUUUCCAGAAAAUUCACAUUGAAGAGUUUGGCAGAAUGUUUUGCAAAUACUACUAGCUGCUUAUAUCUUGGAAACAGACCCAAGCACAGCAAUGCUUUUAAUAACAGAAGCUAAACUCCCUUAUGCCUUAUCUUCAUGUAGGGAUUAAAGCAUAUAUGAUGAAAUCAGGCCAGGGUGAUAUUUCCACUGUCCCCUCCCAGAUCUAUACUGAAGCUAUUUCAUUAACACAUGUUCUUAAAACUUAUUCAUAGGCUCUAAGUCUAUGCACCUUUGAAAAGUCUUCCCUAUAAACACAUGAGGCUUUGAAAGGACAUGGGGAUCCAAGCCAAAAGAUAGAUUACUUAUAAGUAUGUAUGUAAGCAGAGUAAAGAAUUCUCUAUCAAUUGCUGUUGGUCCUCCAUUGAAGCAAAUGACCAAUGGAAUUUUGAUGAGACAGGCACAUUCCUUUUUGUAGACAGAUAUCUGGUUGUGUUGGAUCAAGUAACUAUCAAGUUAUUGAGGUGUCAUGGCCAGUGCUGCUCUCUGGCAGAAACAUAAAACUUCCUCAGUUGAAACUGGCUCCUAGAUGCAGAAAAGUUUCCCUUUGUCUACUAUACUUUGUCUCUUUACUAUUCAGUUGGAAAUUCCACAUUUUAUUCCAAACUGUUGGGAAACAUUAUCAUUAGACUGCACAUCUUCUAAAUAUCAGGCCUAUUGCUUUGAACGACUUUUUGCCUUUUCUGGAUGAGGAAAACAGCUAUCAAGGAAAUGAUUUGCAUAUGUGCGUGACAUUUGCUGCUUAAGAGUAAGGUAGAGAUUUAGUCAGCCUUUUAACUUUCAUGUGGAAGAAGACAAAUAAAUAUGCCUUUAUUCACAAGUAAAUUGUGAUUAUUAGGUGAUGGAUAUAAAUUUAACACAUGAACUUCAAAACAUAUAAAUCUUAAAAUGGAUUUAAAAUAUGUAGUCACGUCUUAGUGGUAUAAAACAUUGUUUAAAUGAUUAGGCAAAUAACUGAUAUGUCUUAGAGACUUUUUCACCAUAAAACACAGAGUAGGAUUUUUCUCCAAGCCAUUAUUACCAAUUGGUCACUAGAAGUGACCUCCUUUGUAGGCGGGAUAUUGUUCAAAAAUUUUCAAUUCAUUUUUUGGUAUUUGCCUGACUUUCAAAGAACUACAAAGAAUUAAUUUAGUAGUAAACUGUGCUUUCUCCUUUAAAUAGGUUGUUAUGCCUGAGAUCAAUCAUAACUUAUCCUUACAUAAACAUUUAUGUAGAUACACAAAUUUCUGGAGAAGAAAAAUUACACACAAUUUUGAGCAAAGAUGGUUUUGUCAGAUUUUAUCUUCUGAGCUCAUUUUGGAUGGAUUCAACCUGCUGUAGAGUGGAAUCUCCUUAUGGAAUAAUUUUGGGAUAUAAAAAUUAAAUAGAAAUUAGUGCAAAUACCUGCUAUUUUAUUCUUUCUAAAAAUGAUCAAUUUAAGAUCAAUAUGCCUUACUCCUUUGGAAUAUAUUCUUAAACACUGCAAAAUAUUUUAUCUUUCAAUUGUGAAAAUGUGACUUUUGAGGGCCAGUGCUUCAUCCCAGUGGCACAAGAGCUUGCCUGGAAAACACAAGAUCAUGAGUUGAAUCCCUGACACCAAAAAAAAAAAAAAAAAAAAAAAAAAAAAGUGCCAUUUGCUAUUUCCUGACCCUUAACAGGAGCAACAGCCUUUCUAGAGGCAAAAUGUAAAUGACAGAGAAUAAUUAACCAUGGUGCCUGACCAUAACUAAGGUUAUAUUUUGGAAAAUUUGACAGAA